rnacentral:tRNA from 1 species
UUUAUUUUGAUUGAGUUAUUAAUAUGAGUUAUUGUUAUUAAUUUAAUAAUAUAAUUAAUAUAAUGAUA